GAUGAACGCUGGCGGCGUGCCUAAUACAUGCAAGUCGAGCGAAGCGGGGACGUGUGAGUAACACGUGGAUAACCUCCUAUAAGCCUGUGAUAACUUCGUGACACCGGAGCUAAUCCCUAUACUUAUAGCUGGUUCCUCGCUGCAUUAGCUAGUUGUUAAGGUAACGGCUUACCAAGUCCACGAUGAAUAGCCGACCUGAGAGGGUGAUCGGCAACACUGGAACGGAGACACGGUCCAGAUUCCUACGGUAGGCAGAAGUAGGGAAUCUUCCGCAAUGGGGGAAAGCCUGACGGAGAAACGCCGCGGGAGGGAUGAAGGUCUUCGGAUCGUAAAACUCUGUGAUUAGGGAGGCGGUACCUAAUCAGAAAGCCACGGCUAACUACGUGCCAGCAGCCGCGGUAAUAC
rnacentral:rRNA from 1 species